rnacentral:rRNA from 1 species
GUGCCAGCAGCCGCGGUAAUACGGAGGGAGCAAGCGUUACUCGGAAUUAUUGGGCGUAAAGGGCGCGUAGGCGAUCCUGUAAGUCUCGUGUGAAAUCCCAGGGCUUAACCCUGGAAUGGCAAGAGAAACUGCUGGAAUUGAGUUCCGGAGAGGAAGGCAGAAUUCCCGGUGUAGCGGUGAAAUGCGUAGAUAUCGGGAGGAAUACCAGUGGCGAAGGCGGCCUUCUGGACGGAUACUGACGCUGAGGCGCGAAAGCCAGGGGAGCAAACGGGAUUAGAUACCCCAGUAGUCC